UGCCAGACUCCUACGGGAGGCAGCAGUGGGGAAUAUUGCACAAUGGGGGAAACCCUGAUGCAGCGACGCCGCGUGAGCGAUGAAGUAUUUCGGUAUGUAAAGCUCUAUCAGCAGGGAAGAAGAUGACGGUACCUGACUAAGAAGCCCCGGCUAACUACGUGCCAGCAGCCGCGGUAAUACGUAGGGGGCAAGCGUUAUCCGGAUUUACUGGGUGUAAAGGGAGCGUAGACGGCGAUGCAAGCCAGAUGUGAAAGCCCGGGGCUCAACCCCGGGACUGCAUUUGGAACUGUGUGGCUGGAGUGUCGGAGAGGCAGGCGGAAUUCCUAGUGUAGCGGUGAAAUGCGUAGAUAUUAGGAGGAACACCAGUGGCGAAGGCGGCCUGCUGGACGAUGACUGACGUUGAGGCUCGAAAGCGUGGGGAGCAAACAGGAUUAGAUACCCUAGUA
rnacentral:rRNA from 1 species